rnacentral:rRNA from 1 species
GAUUCGUCUGCCCAAGGAUGGGUCUGCGGCCUAUCAGGUAGUAGUGGGUGUAAUGUACCUACUAGCCGACAACGGGUACGGGUUGUGAGAGCAAGAGCCCGGAGAUGGAUUCUGAGACAUGAAUCCAGGCCCUACGGGGUGCAGCAGGCGCGAAAACUUUACAAUGCUGGCAACAGCGAUAAGGGAACCUCGAGUGCCAGGUUACAAAUCUGGCUGUCGAGAUGCCUAAAAAGCAUUUCAUAGCAAGGGCCGGGCAAGACCGGUGCCAGCCGCCGCGGUAACACCGGCGGCUCGAGUGGUAACCGUUAUUAUUGGGUCUAAAGGGUCUGUAGCCGGCCGGAUAAGUCUCUUGAGAAAUCUGGCAGCUUAACUGUCAGGCUUUCAGGAGAUACUGUCUGGCUCGAGGCCGGGAGAGGUGAGAGGUACUUCAGGGGUAGGGGUGAAAUCUUGUAAUCCUUGAAGGACCACCAGUGGCGAAGGCGUCUCACCAGAACGGACCUGACGGCAAGGGACGAAAGCUAGGGGCACGAACCGGAUUAGAUACCCGGGUAGUCCUAGCCGUAAACGAUACUCGCUAGGUGUCGGCCACGGUGCGACCGUUGUCGGUGCCGUAGGGAAGCCGUGAAGCGAGCCACCUGGGAAGUACGGCCGCAAGGCUGAAACUUAA